GGAAGGUUGAGUAAUGUUUAUUAGGAUUAGUUUGCAAAAAUAGAUAUUGAUGGAAAUAUUUGAGAUCAUGAUGUUUUUCCAUAAAAUAUUUGUAUGAUAUAGAGGUCACUCUUAUAUACUUCCUCCGUUUUUUAAAGAGUUAAGCAUACGUUUGCCCCCUAACGUUUGGGGUUUUUUAACGUUCGCCCACUAACGUUUAAAAGAUAAACAUUCACCCCUUAACGUUUGCUUAACUCAACCUUAGUUAAAAAUGUAUUGCUUGACAACUAAUUACAUUAUUUAUCCCCUCAAAAAAAAAUUACAUUAUUUAAAAAUAAUAAUUUUAAUUGUUAAUUAGUCAAGGAAGGGUUUUGCGUUUUUUCCACCCAAAAUGACUGUCAUCUUUUCCUCUUCCCAUUUUCACACAAACUUUUACCAUUAACAACUUUUACCAAACAAGAGGAAGAGAGCACACAAAACACACCAUUUGCGGCUACAAAGUACGAACGACUACUGAACUAGAGACAAAAGAUAUGGAGAAUGUUUCAAACUGCAUAAUUUUACACCAUGGUGGCAAAUGGGUGACCACUGAAGAAUGGUCUUACGUUGGCGGAAAAAUUGAAAUCUGUAACGAUAUGCCAGUUCAAUUGACACACCAUGAUAUUGUGAGUUUGGUUUCGAGGUUGGGCUAUGAUGAUGUAAUCGGACUUCAUUACAAUGAUCCUUCAAUUACAAGGGUUUCGAUCAUGGAUUAGGGUUUUUUUGGCGCUGUGGAUUGAAAGAUUAAAAGCGUAUAAUGGUGGCUCUUGGAUUUUUGAUGGAUUGAUUGUUGUUCUGUGGUAGUUAUUAUUUUAAUGGAAGGAAAUGAAUUUUUUAUUUUA